AUUGAACGCUGGCGGCAUGCCUUACACAUGCAAGUCGAACGGCAGCACGGGGGCAACCCUGGUGGCGAGUGGCGAACGGGUGAGUAAUGCAUCGGAACGUGCCCAGUAGUGGGGGAUAACUAGUCGAAAGAUUAGCUAAUACCGCAUACGACCUAUGGGUGAAAGCGGGGGAUUCGCAAGAACCUCGCGCUAUCGGAGCGGCCGAUGUCUGAUUAGCUAGNGGCGGGGUAAGGCCCACCAAGGCUUCGAUCAGUAGCUGGUCUGAGAGGACGACCAGCCACACUGGGACUGAGACACGGCCCAGACUCCUACGGGAGGCAGCAGUGGGGAAUUUUGGACAAUGGGCGCAAGCCUGAUCCAGCCAUGCCGCGUGCGGGAAGAAGGCCU
rnacentral:rRNA from 1 species